rnacentral:rRNA from 1 species
UACGUAGGGGCUAGCGUUAUCCGGAAUUAUUGGGCGUAAAGAGCGCGCAGGUGGUUGAUUAAGUCUGAUGUGAAAGCCCACGGCUUAACCGUGGAGGGUCAUUGGAAACUGGUCGACUUGAGUGCAGAAGAGGGAAGUGGAAUUCCAUGUGUAGCGGUGAAAUGCGUAGAGAUAUGGAGGAACACCAGUGGCGAAGGCGGCUUCCUGGCCUGUAACUGACACUGAGGCGCGAAAGCGUGGGGAGCAAACAGGAUUAGAUACCCCGGUAGU